AUGGAAGUUUGGCAGUUCUGCUGAGUCUCCUCCAUUGUGAUAGGCAGAGAGCAGCAGACUUGACUUUGGCAGCCAUGCUUACUCUCUCUUCUUGCAAAGCAAAUAAGGUAGCAAUUGCUUCUUCUGGGUUGGGUUUGUAAUCAACAGCGAUUAUAGCACUCAGUCUCAGCUUGAUGCUAUUGCUACUCUGCAGAAUCUUACAACGUGCAAAGAGAUUGUUCCACUGAUUAACAAACAAAUUAAUUAUAUGCAUAGAACAAACAAAUUGGAAAUUCGGUUUCAUUAAUAGGAUACAACUAUGAUAUAUAAUUUAAUCUAAUCACUGGAAGCAAGACGACAUUGUCCCCAGCCAUCCAGAAAUUAACAUUGAUAUCUUGAUAAUUCCACACUCC
rnacentral:lncRNA from 1 species